rnacentral:rRNA from 1 species
UGCGAGUCAACGUAGAAAUACGUGGCAUACGGCUCAGUAACACGUAGUCAACAUGCCCAGGGGACGUGGAUAACCUCGGGAAACUGAGGAUAAACCGCGAUAGGCCAUGAUUUCUGGAAUGGUUCAUGGCCGAAAUCUAUAUGGCCCCUGGAUUGGACUGCGGCCGAUCAGGCUGUUGGUGAGGUAAUGGCCCACCAAACCUGUAACCGGUACGGGCUCUGAGAGGAGGAGCCCGGAGAUGGGCACUGAGACAAGGGCCCAGGCCCUAUGGGGCGCAGCAGGCGCGAAAUCUCUGCAAUAGGCGAAAGCUUGACAGGGUUACUCUGAGUGGUUCCCGUUAAGGGGAUCUUUUGGCACCUUUAAAAAUGGUGCAGAAUAAGGGGUGGGCAAGUCUGGUGUCAGCCGCCGCGGUAAUACCAGCACCCCGAGUGGUCGGGACGAUUAUUGGGCCUAGAGCAUCCGUAGCCGGUACUGCAAGUCUUCCGUUAAAUCCACCUGCUUAACAGUUGGGCUGCGGGGGAUACUACAGCGCUAGGAGGCGGGAGAGGCAAGCGGUACUCAAUGGGUAGGGGUAAAAUCCGCUGAUCCAUUGAAGACCACCAGUGGCGAANGCGGCUUGCCAGAACGCGCUCGACGGUGAGGGAUGAAAGCUGGGGGAGCAAACCGGAUUAGAUACCCGGGUAGUCCCAGCUGUAAACGAUGCAGACUCGGUGAUGGGCUGGCCUUGUGCCAGCCCAGUGCCGCAGGGAAGCCGUUAAGUCUGCCGCCUGGGGAGUACGGUCGCAAGACUGAAACUUAAAGGAAUUGGCGGGGG